AUCAGCCACGAUAGCUGCUCUCGCAAGCCUCCAAAAAGCCUGACAAUUUCGUAACACACUGCUUUUAACCGUCCGCAUGUCUGAUGGAAAAUUGUGUCAUUGUGUACAAUUGGUGAGCUUUGUGUGCGUUACUUAGCUUUGCAAAAUUAUUGCCAUACACAGCUACUGGUGGGUUUGACAGCACCUACCGGGCAUGCGAAGAGUUAAAGAAAAACUGAUUGACAGUUACCGAGCAGACAUCCAGCCGAAGCUCCAAUAAACGACAGUGCUGCCAUCGCUGUUCAGGUUGACAACAGUGCCGUUCUCGACAAUGUGGCUCGCAUAUUCCAUUGUGGCGUCACUUGUUGCAUUGUCCUGGAAAGGCGAACAUGCAGUAUCGAAUGGUAACUGGCACAAUGGCUGCCGAAUUGAACAGUUUAUUUUAGACGUUCUACACUUGAAGUAGGACACCUGCCGCUUUGCAAAGCGAGUUCCCCUUCCUAGAGUGGGAAAAUUGAGCAAUUUUGACCAAAAUCGAGGGCCAGGUUACCGAAAAUAAUCAGAUUUGUCGAACGACUUGCACUUCGCUGUGGAAUUCAACUACGAUGUCCCUAUGUAAUUUCCGAAGUACAAGGAAUUCAACCACAGAAUAUUACACGAGUUGGAAUGAGGAUCCCCGGGUCACAACAAAAGACCAGCUUUCAAAAUGUUUUAAAAGAGAAAAGUAAUAAUAUCUCUUCAUUUUGAUCCUAGAACUUCCACACCAAUUUACAGCCCUUUUUCUGAUUUCCGUUAUGCAACUUACAGAAUGCAUGUCCACGCUAAGAUAUCUGAAAAUACAUAAAUGCGAAACAUGGACUAAAAUAUAAAUGCAAAUUAUUUCACUUUCGUCUCACUGCGAAAAGGUUGAUGUAGCAAAGUAUUAAUUUUAUAUACAUUUUUUACAGCUAUAUCAAUUGAAUUCGCGAAUUAAUCAGAAGUCCUGUUAUUCAAUAUAUUCUCAUUUCGAUUCGUUUGCGCAUAAUCCACCUUGAUAAUGCCGGAGUGAUUAAUGAUUAUACGACGACCGAAGAUGGCUGCCAUUAACUUUGUGAACAUCAACGCCAACCGUAAAGCAUCAGUAUAUAUAUAUAUGUAUAUGUAUAUAUAAAGUACUUAUUUGAUAGUAAAUACAAUGGAACCUCGACUAGCUCAUGAUACAAAUAGACGAGGUAUAGCCACUAGCGGUUCUGAAAAGUUUUCGUCUUUCCAUUAGUUCAUACGACAAGGAUCCUAACAUUUUUUUGCUACCAUUAUAUUUAAUUGGUCGAACAUUAUCUAUAUAUUUUAAUCAAGAAAAACUUAUAAAAACUUCUAUAACAUAUAUGAAAUUAUUUUGAUGGAGCAUCGAAGUAUUUUUCUCGUAAAUAUUAGAUAUCACUUUGUAAAUUAAUCAACGCGAAAAAUAUAGGGAUAGAAUAUUUUUGUAUCGCCUUCUUUAAACUUUCACUAGAUUCUACAGACUUAUAAUGUACGAAAAAAUUCUUUUAUGUGUGCCUUCAUUUUAAUUAAUAGAUGUACAUACUUAGUUUAUUUUUUUAUCAUUUACGUUCUAUAUUGCGUGUUCAUACAAACAUUUGCUUUAUGAAGUAUCGUGUCAAGGUAUUAUAUAAAUUAAAUGAAGUAGUUUCAAUAUAAAAAAGUAAGUCCGUUAUAGGGGAUUGAACUAGUGAUUCUUUCAUUGUGAAACUGAUUUGCUGUCAUUGUGCUACUAUAAUAUAAACUAUUGGCAAGCGAA